rnacentral:rRNA from 1 species
CCUUGGUGGGCCGUUACCCCUCCAACUAGCUAAUCAGACGCAAGCCCCUCCCCCGGCGGUAGCAUAUUCAGAGGCCACCUUUCUUCCCACUGCCAUGCGGCAAUGAAAACGUAUUCGGUAUUAGCAGCCGUUUCCAGCUGUUGUCCCCAUCCGGAGGGCAGGUUGCUUACGCGUUACUCACCCGUUUGCCACUAGAGUCCAUAGGAAGCAAGCUUCCCAUGUCCUCCCGUUCGACUUGCAUGUGUUAAGCACGCCGCCAGCGUUCGUCCUGAGCCAGGAUCAAACUCUUCAGUCAGUCA